AGCAGCCGCGGUAAUUCCAGCUCCAAUAGCGUAUAUUAAAGUUGUUGCAGUUAAAAAGCUCGUAGUUGAAUUUCGGGAUCGACGGGUCGGUCGCGCCUCCGGUGUGUACUGGCCCUGUCGGUUUCUCCCUUCUGAAGAACCGCGAUGUCAUUAAUUUGGUGUCGUGGGAAAUCAGGACUGUUACUUUGAAAAAAUUAGAGUAGUCUAAAGCAGGCAUUCGCUUGAAUACAUUAGCAUGGAAUAAUGAAAUAGGACGUUUGAUCUUAUUUUGUUGGUUUCUAAGAUCGACGUAAUGAUUAAUAGGGAUAGUUGGGGGCAUUAGUAUUCAAUUGUCAGAGGUGAAAUUCUUGGAUUUAUUGAAGACUAACUACUGCGAAAGCAUUUGCCAAGGAUGUUUUCAUUAAUCAAGAACGAAAGUUAGGGGAUCGAAGACGAUCAGAUACCGUCGUAGUCUUAACCAUAAACUAUGCCGACUAGGGAUCGGAUGAUGUUAAUUUUUAAUUGUAUUCAUUCGGCGCCU
rnacentral:rRNA from 1 species